rnacentral:rRNA from 1 species
AUUCCAGCUCCAAUAGCGUAUAUUAAAGUUGUUGCAGUUAAAAAGCUCGUAGUUGGAUUUCGGAACCGGCCGAUUGGUCCGUCCUCUGGAUCGUGUACUGAUCGGUCUGUUCUUCUUCGCGAAGACCGCGUGUGCCCUUAACUGGGUGGGCGCGGGAUUCGCGACGUUUACUUUGAAAAAAUUAGAGUGUUCAAAGCAGGCAGUCGCUUGAAUAUCUCAGCAUGGAAUAAUAGAAUAGGACUUUGGUCUUAUUUUGUUGGUUUCCGAGACCGAAGUAAUGAUUAAUAGGGACAGUUGGGGGCAUUCGUAUUUCAUUGUCAGAGGUGAAAUUCUUGGAUUUAUGAAAGACGAACUUCUGCGAAAGCAUUUGCCAAGGAUGUUUUCAUUA